UGAGAUUUAAGUAAGGAAUUAUGGUUCCUUUUUUCAUUAACCCUCUAUUCCAUUUUCAUGCAUCCAGAAAUGAUGGUAUUAUGGUAGACUCCUGCAAGAAUUGAAAUACCGGUAUGAUUUUUCUCAAAAUAUGAAAAACAAGCUCAAGCCAUCUUCUUGAGCCUCUUUGGGCCCUCUUGGCAAGGACAGGGGUGUUUCCUCUUGGAAGAAAGCAGCAGGAUGCCACAGGAGUGGAGCUGUUAGUGGAAUUCUUGAAAGAAACUAAGACUUCAGUCAAAACAUCUUUACUGCUUACUGAUACACUAAAUGAUGACGAAGAAGCAAAGCACUCAACAAAUCCAUCAACACACUGUUUUGCAGCUUUCCAUUGAAUUCCCAAAGGUGUUCUGUGCAGUUUUUCACUGAAAGCAAGAGUCCUACACUGCAUAUCCCUG
rnacentral:lncRNA from 1 species